AUUGGACGCUGGCGGCAGGCCUAACACAUGCAAGUCGAGCGGAUGAAGGGAGCUUGCUCCUGGAUUCAGCGGCGGACGGGUGAGUAAUGCCUAGGAAUCUGCCUGGUAGUGGGGGAUAACGUCCGGAAACGGGCGCUAAUACCGCAUACGUCCUGAGGGAGAAGGUGGGGGAUCUUCGGACCUCACGCUAUCAGAUGAGCCUAGGUCGGAUUAGCUAGUUGGUGGGGUAAAGGCCUACCAAGGCGACGAUCCGUAACUGGUCUGAGAGGAUGAUCAGUCACACUGGAACUGAGACACGGUCCAGACUCCUACGGGAGGCAGCAGUGGGGAAUAUUGGACAAUGGGCGAAAGCCUGAUCCAGCCAUGCCGCGUGUGUGAAGAAGGUCUUCGGAUUGUAAAGCACUUUAAGUUGGGAGGAAGGGCAGUAAGUUAAUACCUUGCUGUUUUGACGUUACCAACAGAAUAAGCACCGGCUAACUUCGUG
rnacentral:rRNA from 1 species